GGCUUUGUAGUGAAGUUCAUAGUGAGUUGCAAGCUCAUUGAUGUGCACUAAUCGUGCACCGAAGUCU
rnacentral:tRNA from 1 species